GAUGAACGCUAGCGGCAGGCCUAACACAUGCAAGUCGAGGGAGAGGUUACCUUCGGGUAACCAAAACCGGCGCACGGGUGCGUAACGCGUAUACAAUCUGCCUUUCACAUAGGGAUAGCCCGAAGAAAUUUGGAUUAAUACCUAAUGGUAUAUAAGAGCGGCAUCGUUUUUAUAUUAAAGCUACGGUGGUGAAAGGUGAGUAUGCGUUCUAUUAGCUAGUUGGAGAGGUAACGGCUCCCCAAGGCGACGAUAGAUAGGGGUUCUGAGAGGGAUGUCCCCCACACUGGUACUGAGAUACGGACCAGACUCCUACGGGAGGCAGCAGUGAGGAAUAUUGGACAAUGGUCGGAAGACUGAUCCAGCCAUGCCGCGUGCAGGAUGAAGGUCCUAUGGAUUGUAAACUGCUUUUGUAAGGGAAGAAUAAGGAGUACGUGUACUUUGAUGACGGUACCUUACGAAUAAGCAUCGGCUAACUCCGUG
rnacentral:rRNA from 1 species